UCCCUUGAAGGGGCUUAUUUAAGGCAAAACAAGGCCUCCCAUCAUUCCUGUGAGAGAUCAUUGUCCCCCUUGUUGCCACAGCGCCCUGUGAGGCUGUGGGAAACAAAUGACCUCAGAGGCACUCAGUGUGUGUCACUGCAAAAGAAAAGAGAAUCUAGGGGGCUGGAGGGUGGGGGGAUGGGGGCUGCUGGCUAGCAGAGCCCUCCACAGCCCUGCGUCCUCCAAUGAUAUCCCUCUAGGCACAGCAGGGAGGAAGCUUGUGGGCCCGGAGUCUCCAUCCUGCUUGUAACGAGAUUAGGCUACACUCCUCAGCAGCUCAGCGUCCUUCUGGACGUCCUGCUGCUCACCCUGGUCACUCUGGUCUCUAAUUGGUCCUCCCCACAAAAUGCCUGGUGGUUGCCUGUGUCAUGCACUCUGAUUCACUGAGUCCUGAGUCAGGCUAAGACUCUUCUGAGGCCAGGGAGAGCAGUUGUGAGCUAUAGGAGAGGAUGAGAGGGUUGAUGGGGGACCAGGUAGGGAAUCAUAAACAAGGGGAACCCAGGGACCAAGAAGAUGGGGAUGGGGAGAGAGAGGAUGAAGACGGACAAGAAAGGAUGACAGCAAAGCUAAGGAAGGAGAGCCCUGGACCAGCCAUUCACAACACCCAUGGAUCCCAGGAGGAAGGUGAUAUCGUCCGGGUGCUCUGGAUCCUUCAAGGAAGAAUUUAGAAAUAGAUGAGAUGACUUGGAAAUCUUUCUCUUCAGCUCACAAAAUGUUAAGAAGGAAAAGAAAGCUAAACUGGAGCAAGUAAGAGAUGCGUAGGUUUAUUCUCCUGACUCCAUUUCAAUUCUGAGGGAUAAAGCAUGUCGUUGGUCUCUCUGCUAACCAGAGAGGGCCUCAACUUAGAAACACAAGGACAGCACAUCUUACCUUCAAUCUGUGGUGUGAGCUCCUUCACCAGAGGAACUUAACUCUUUCAACAUGUGGAUGCAGAGGCUGCCGCUUGGUGCUGUCCCCAGGGUUCUCAGUGGGGAAGACUUGUACACCACAUAUUGAGAGAAAGUAGUUCAGUCUUCUUGGGUUUUCCUGAACUAAUGAUCUCAUGUCAAGGCUGCACUCUUAAAACGAAUUGUAUUUUGAUUAAUGACUAAAAAAUAAAUGAGCAAAGUGUGUUUAUG